UGAAGCUGCCAGCAUGAUC
rnacentral:ncRNA from 2 species